rnacentral:rRNA from 1 species
UACGAAGGGGGCUAGCGUUGUUCGGAUUUACUGGGCGUAAAGCGCACGUAGGCGGAUCUUUAAGUCAGAGGUGAAAUCCCGGAGCUCAACUUCGGAACUGCCUUUGAUACUGGGGAUCUCGAGUUCGGGAGAGGUGAGUGGAACUGCGAGUGUAGAGGUGAAAUGCGUAGAUAUCGUAAGGAAGACCAGUGGCGAAGGCGGGUCUCUGGACAGUUCCUGACGCUGAGGCACGAAGGCCAGGGGAGCAAACGGG